GGACACGUCGGAGGAAUUCAGGCCGCUGGCCGGGUCGUGUGCUGCCCCUCGCUCACCACCAACCCGGCCCGCCAGCCUGCCUGCCUGGAAAGGCCCUGUUGCCCAGUUAGGCCAGGCAGAGCAAGGCCUCUGGCCUCCAGGCCCAGGCAACCGGGAUGCUAGGGCCUGACUUGGCCUGUGCCUCCCCGACCUCCUGCCUCUGGGCCUCCUCUGCCCAGUUCAGGGCAUCCUUGGCCUUGCCAUCCAGAGUCUCCCCAGUGGGGCUCCAAGCCUCCCUGCUCCCAGGAUCCUCUCUGGCCGUGCGCUGAGGCUCUGGAAGUUAGGCCUCCACUCCAAAGCCUCUCGUAGGUUUUCGCCUGCUAUUGCCCGGAUCUAGGUGGGAGGCAGCAGCCUCUCUCAGGGUUUUUACAACCCAGGGCCUCAGACCCCUGGCCGAGGGGGUGCUUGCUGUUGGGCAGGAAGGCCCAGGAACUGGGGACCUGGGAGUGGGCUCCCGCAGGAAGUGCCUGACUCCCGGGCCUAGGGUCCAGUAAAGAGUCCGAGGCUGGAGUGGAGUCAGGUGGCUGUGGGGUGCAUGUUGUGUGCUACCUGGGAUGCGUGCUGUCCCAGCACGUGGGGGUGCUGGUGGUGGUGUCCUGUGCACCUGGGGAGAUUUUCGUGUGUACUUGGGCGAACACGUGAAGGCAGAUGUGGAGUCCACCGGUGAAACCAAUAUUGAGGAGAAAGAAGUGAAAGUGAAAAAUCCUGGAGCUUCUGGAUACUCCAGAUACUCACCCGAGGGAUGGCAGAACCAGGACCUUAUGUCAAUGCCCGCGCCGUGCUGGAACCCAACUGCAGGGGCCCAAAGGGGCCCGAAGUGCGAGGCUGAGUCUCCAGCCCGGCCUGGCCUGGGUGUCGCUGCUUCCCCCACCUCCGGGGGUGCACUCCUUGGUCCCUCCUGGAGGCCGCUCCACUGGGCUCCUCGCCACCUGCCCCCGCCCUACCCCUGGUGCCCGUGCCCACAGGGAGCGCGUGCCGGGUGGUCCCGUGUCCCACACACUCCGUCCGCGCUUGCCGCCGCCCGAGUAGGAAGCCUUCCUUCCUCACCUGGACCGGCUGGGCU